GUAGCCUCAGGGAAUGGCUUGGCUUCCAAAGAAACAGCCUCAGCAGUUAGUGAAACUUGAUCACUCACCAAGUGUCCUCUGGCAUAUUUCAGAAGGUGAGAUCAGGACAUCCUGGACAGAAGAGGGAGGAAAGGGGCACAGGGUUCGUUGUGCCCUUGCUGUUACAUCAUGAGAAGACCCCAGGCAGAUCUCCAACAUGAAGGCCAUCAAUCUCAUAUGUCGCUUGAGGCAAAGGACUUUAGGUUACCUUUGCUUGCUACUUCUGGAAACUUCAGGGCAGCGCUGAGCAAGGCCUAACUUCCAUAUUUCAACUUUUCUUGUUCUACUUGUUCUUCUUGUUGUAAAUGUCUCAUAUCAGAUUUAUUUGCACGUUCAUAACCUCCCGUGGCUAGAGACCACGUUGCUUGCAGAAUCUCAGAAAUAAUUUGCAUGAACAGAGAAAGGCAUGAAAUGCCAUCGUUCCGAAGCAAAAUAACAGGAAUAAUGGGAAUAGCUGAAGUAAUUUGUUACAAUCCUAAGACUAGCAAAACAAGUGCAUUAUUUUCUUGCAUUGUGAUUGUGGCCUCUUUCUGGACUUGACGAUCCUUGAUAAGAUACCAGGUCAAAAAUAUUUGGCCAAAGAAAUGCAUACCCCUAGGGUGUUCAAUAGCUGGUAAAGUAUCAGAGGUACAAGAAGACCCUCUCUAGGUUAAAUAUAGGCAGAAGCAAUGCUCUCUGUUGAAACUAUGGAUCGCUGUUGCCAGGGUUGCUUCAUUUCCUUCCCUUUUGUCCAAUUUGUCCAUCAAUUGGGUCCACCUGGACCACAUGAGGCCCAUCUUCCUUUUGUUUGCCUCAUCUAAAAAUGCUAUAGAAACACAGGCUUCAGUCACCCACCGUCCUUGCUCUGGUUUGCUUUCAUGCUGAAGGCAUCUUGUUGGUGAGUUCACUUUGAUUGCUGAAAUCAAAUUGGUUGUCGAAUCAUUUUAAUCAUCAAUCAUGAUGAGUCACAUGCUUCCCUUUUGUGGAGUCUUUGGGUUAAGUUAUCUGGUUUUGCCAGACAGCUUCAUUUGGCUGCUUUCCUCAGAAUAAUCGGUACUCAUUCCAAAGCCACCACUUCUGCCAAAGCAGAGGCUUACACACAACCUGUUGCACAGCAACAGUAUAAUUAAUCCACACAUACACCCUUUGUCUUCAGGAACAAUAUCUGUCAGACCCUACAUUGCCUUAAAGAGCUAAUUUUCUCAUGCAUGGUAGCCUCUACCUCUUUUUCCUGUUUAGCUGUCAUGGGCUUGUGUGUUAAGAUUCAGUCUGCUUGCCAUAAUGCAAGUCCUGUACCUAAAACAAAAUGUUGGUGAACCAUUCCUUUUCCUGACUUCUUUACCCUUUACUCCUCCCUCCUCUGUCCCUUGCAAACAUUUCACAAUUCCUGAUUCUCCUAGCCUCAACCUCUGGUAAUUUCCUAGAAACUGUAACCCAACCUUCUGGCCCACUUUAGCUGCAUCUGUCUAUAGCCUAGUUUCCCUAACUGAGCAAUCCUCAAUGUAAAUAUUAGAGGCUUUUCUCAGAACUAUCUCCCAACCCCCUGCUGAAGUAUUUGGAUAUAUAAUUUAUUAUUUUUGAUUAAUGGGUUUUAAAAAAUGUGUUUUGUAUACAUAGCCUUGUGUGUAACACAUAAGCCACAUCAUGUCUCAUUAGAAUGAAAAUAUUUUACUGCCUGAGGGGAAGCAGAGAAUAAGCCAGUCACCUUAUUUUUAGCAUAUGAGGUAGAAAAUCCCACAAAUGCCUUGAUUCAAACUUGCCAAUAAAGCCAAAGCCAUAACAAAUUAAAUAGCCA
ensembl:lncRNA